rnacentral:rRNA from 1 species
GACGAACGCUGGCGGCGUGCUUAACACAUGCAAGUCGAACGGAAAGGCCCUGCUUUUGUGGGGUGCUCGAGUGGCGAACGGGUGAGUAACACGUGAGUAACCUGCCCUUGACUUUGGGAUAACUUCAGGAAACUGGGUCUAAUACCGGAUAGGCGCUCCGGCUGCAUGGUGGGGGUUGGAAAGUUUCGGCGGUGGGGGAUGGACUCGCGGCUUAUCAGCUUGUUGGGGGGGUAGUGGCUUACCAAGGCUUUGACGGGUAGCCGGCCUGAGAGGGUGACCGGCCAUAUUGGGACUGAGAUGCGGCCCAGACUCCUACGGGAGGCAGUAGUGGGGAAUAUUGCACAAUGGGCGGAAGCCUGCUGCAGCAACGCCGCGUGCGGGAUGACGGCCUUCGGGUUGUAAACCGCUUUCGCCUGUGACGAAGCGUGAGUGACGGUAAUGGGUAAAGAAGCACCGGCUAACUACGUG